UGCUUAAGGGCCCUAUGCAAAUUUUGUUUAGUUGCUGGCUAUUAAAUCUACUUUAUCUUACUAAUUUGUCUUAAUUGCAUGCCUGAUUAAAUACUUAAAUUAAUUAUUUUACUGACCUGAAUAGCUUUUCCAUGAGGAUAACUAAUUUAACAGUCAGCACUUCGGGUUUUAUAUGAAGUUACAAAUGUUGGACUUUCAGGAGUAAUAUUAUAAAGGAGUAUACACAUUAAUAUAUACAAAAAAGAUUGUUUACUAUAAAUAGUUUUCAUGACAUGGUUUUAAGAAUUCCCCGAUUGUAUUUGCUGUAUCUCGCUGCUUAUUUAUAGAGUGUUGAAUGAGUAUUCUGCCAUUGGUACCACCCGGCUGCAAUCUACACAUGUGAGCUGUCUCCAUAAAGCCAUCACACUUAGAGCCUGGUCAAAAGUAACAAAUGAUAAUGAAAUGACAAAUUGUUGCCCAUUCCCAGCGGGCUGCACACGUAAGUAUUUUAAAUAAUUAACUAAGUAAGUUUGUGCAAUUAGUUCAUGAGGCUGGUGGCGCAUUUUUGUUAUCACCGCCACAGCUGGCUGCAAGGAGCGGCACCCUGAACUGCGCUCGGUCUCUCUAUGUGACUCAGCCGCGCCCCAUUGCUGACCCCUUGUGUUAAUUUGCAUUGAGGCAAGUGGAGGAUGGGUUCGCAAUGAGCCAAGAUGCGAGGACGAUGACGAUGGCGAGAACGGGGACAACGACUGCGGUGCAAUGGGAGCGCCGCCAAGCCAUUUGGAGAAAGGGAGAAAUGAAGUGUGGUUGCGUGUGAAAUUGGCCGAGUUGGGCUAGCAUGAAUCACCCGCGUCUCGAGCGACGACAGCGUGCGCAAAGUGUAAUGAAUCAUGUGCCAAUGGGAGCCGGCAUCAGGCAGCAGGAGGUAGGCACUCAAAGUGGUUAAGCACAAACACUCGAAACACAUAAGCGAACACAUUGACAUUCAGGUUUUUGUUUUGUUGUACGUGUUGGAAAUUUGCAAUUUAUUUCUCGUUGGGUCUUA